AACGAAGUAGCAAUACUUAGUGGCAGACGGGUGAGUAACAUGUAGGUAUCUGCCCUUUGGCCUGGAAUAACACGAGGAAACUUGUGCUAAUACCGGAUAAGUCUUUACGGAGAAAGCUUUAUGCACCAUUGGAUGAGCCUGCACUUGAUUAGUUUGUUGGUGGGGUAAUGGCCUACCAAGACUGUGAUCAAUAGCUGAUUUGAGAGGAUGAUCAGCCACAUUGGGACUGAGACACGGCCCAAACUCCUACGGGAGGCAGCAGUGGGGAAUCUUGCACAAUGGAGGAAACUCUGAUGCAGCGAUGCCGCGUGAGUGAAGAAGGCCCUUGGGUUGUAAAGCUCUUUCGUCGGGGGAGAAAAUGACUGUACCCGAAUAAGAAGGUCCGGCUAACUUCGUGCCAGCAGCCGCGGUAAUACGAAGGGACCUAGCGUAGUUCGGAAUUACUGGGCUUAAAGAGUUCGUAGGUGGUUGAAAUAGUUGGUGGUGAAAUCCCAGAGCUUAACUCUGGAACUGCCAUCAAAACUUUUCAGCUAGAGUAUGAUAGAGGAAAGCAGAAUUUCUAGUGUAGAGGUGAAAUUCGUAGAUAUUAGAAAGAAUACCAAUUGCGAAGGCAGCUUUCUGGAUCAUUACUGACACUGAGGAACGAAAGCAUGGGUAGCGAAGAGGAUUAGAUACCCUCGUAGUCCAUGCCGUAAACGAUGUGUGUUAGACGUUGGAAAUUUAUUUUCAGUGUCGCAGGGAAACCGAUAAACACACCGCCUGGGGAGUACGACCGCAAGGUUAAAACUCAAAUGAAUUGACGGGGACCCGCACAAGUAGUGGAGCAUGUGGUUUAAUUCGAAGAUACGCGCAGAACCUUACCAACACUUGACAUGUUCGUCGCGACUCUAAGAGAUUAGAGUUUUCGGUUCGGCCGGACGAAACACAGGUGCUGCAUGGCUGUCGUCAGCUCGUGUCGUGAGAUGUUGGGGUUAAGUCCCGCAACGAGCGCAACCCUCACUUUUAGUUGCCAUCAUUAAGUUGGGCACUCUGAA
rnacentral:rRNA from 1 species